rnacentral:lncRNA from 1 species
GUGUGUGGUUUAUAUGUUAAGGGGUGUGAUUUAUAUGUUAAGGGGUGUGGUUUAUAUGUUAAGGGGUGUGAUUUAUAUGUUAAGGGGUGUGAUUUAUAUGUUAAGGGGUGUGAUUUAUAUGUUAAGGUGUGUGGUUUAUAUGUUAAGGGGUGUGAUUUAUAUGUUAAGGGGUGUGGUUUAUAUGUUAAAGGGUGUGAUUUAUAUGUUAAGGGGUGUGAUUUAUAUGUUAGGGGGUGUGAUUUAUAUGUUAAGAGGUGUGAUUUAUAUGUUAAAUGGUGUGAUUUAUAUGUUAAGGGGUGUGAUGUAUAUGUUAAGGGGUGUGAUGUAUAUAUUAAGGGGUGUGAUUUAUAUGUUAAGGUGUGUGGUUUAUAUGUUAACUUCCCUGGCAUUACAACGUAUGUAAGUCUCUUAUGUACACUAAAUAAAAAAACAAGAAACAGUAUUUUCUUACCAAAUUAAAGUCUGGUGAUGACA